UACGAAGGGGGCUAGCGUUGUUCGGAAUCACUGGGCGUAAAGGGCGCGUAGGCGGCUUCUCAAGUCAGGCGUGAAAGCCCCGGGCUCAACCCGGGAGGUGCGCUUGAGACUGGGGGGCUCGAGUUCGGGAGAGGAUGGUGGAAUUCCCAGUGUAGAGGUGAAAUUCGUAGAUAUUGGGAAGAACACCGGUGGCGAAGGCGACCAUCUGGACCGACACUGACGCUGAGGCGCGAAAGCGUGGGGAGCAAACAGGAUUAGAAACCCUGGUAGUCC
rnacentral:rRNA from 1 species